rnacentral:rRNA from 1 species
CUGCCCUCCACUUCGGGAUAAGCCUUGGAAACGGGGUCUAAUACCGGAUAUGAGCUCGCAUCGCAUGGUGUGGGUUGGAAAGUUUUUCGGUGGGGGAUGGGCUCGCGGCCUAUCAGCUUGUUGGUGGGGUGAUGGCCUACCAAGGCGUCGACGGGUAGCCGGCCUGAGAGGGCGACCGGCCACACUGGGACUGAGACACGGCCCAGACUCCUACGGGAGGCAGCAGUGGGGAAUAUUGCACAAUGGGCGAAAGCCUGAUGCAGCGACGCCGCGUGAGGGAUGACGGCCUUCGGGUUGUAAACCUCUUUCAGCAGGGAAGAAGCGCAAGUGACGGUACCUGCAGAAGAAGCGCCGGCUAACUACGUGCCAGCAGCCGCGGUAAUACGUAGGGCGCAAGCGUUGUCCGGAAUUAUUGGGCGUAAAGAGCUCGUAGGCGGUCUGUCGCGUCUGGUGUGAAAUCCCAAGGCUCAACCUUGGGCGUGCAUCGGGUACGGGCAGACUAGAGUGCGGUAGGGGAGACUGGAAUUCCUGGUGUAGCGGUGGAAUGCGCAGAUAUCAGG